UUUUCAAUUCUAUACUUACAUUGUGUAUAUGAGGUCUAUAGUAUUCAAUUCUCGGAUUUAUCAGGAUUGAGUUGCUCAAAUCACUGGUUAAAUUUGACCACUGGAUAAGUUAGCCGUUGGUUAAAUUCUGUAUCCACUGGGUAAGUAACCACUGGUCAAAUAUUUGUUGCUCAAAAUAAAAUUAGCCUCUGGUUAACUAACCACAGGUUAAGUGAUUUAACCACUGGUUAGUAUCCCACAAUGCAUUACACUUGUCCAGUUGUCAACCAAAAACAAUGGCUACCAUGGUAAAUAUCAAAUAAGUAAAUAGUGAGACGUUUUAACGUUACAUUAUAUAAUACAACCGUAUGUGGAGAAGUGGAGAAAUAUCGACAUGUAACAGUAUCAAAACUAAACAAACGCUUUAGUCGCAAAAAGUAAGGAACACACAAGUCAGCUGGGAUUAUUCUUUGCUGAAAAUUCAAGUGGAGGAUGCAGUAACUGUAAACACAUAGAAUAGGAAAGGAUUAGCACCACAGCAAGGGAAGGCCGCCUGAUAAUAUCCUUUGUAAUGCCAACAGAUUAAUCCUUGAAAGAACCCAUUUAAAACAUUUCUGCUGACGAUGAAGACAUAAAAACCUAUCAUAUCCCUGACUGUGAUGUUAUUCCUGCCUAAUAUUGCAACAAAACCA